GCUUCACUAACUUUCCGUGUGCUUAGAAGCUGGCCUACUUCUCAAGGUCCCUUGCAUUGCUCAGACAAAUAUUGCCAUGGCAUGUGAAGAGUACAAGAAUAGCUUUCCUGUAUGUAAGUUUGCAGUCUUUUAUGAUCAAUAUAAUUUCAUCGGUCAUCUCCUAAAAAGUUCUGGUUAACCAAACUCUUACUGGAACAGUAAAAUCUUGUGCCAAAACCAUUAUGUUCUUUGGAGAAAGACAAGCAUAUACUUAGUUUUGUACUUAUACAAUAAAUAAAA